CCCAGACUCCUACGGGAGGCAGCAGUGGGGAAUAUUGCACAAUGGGGGAAACCCUGAUGCAGCGACGCCGCGUGAGUGAAGAAGUAAUUCGUUAUGUAAAGCUCGAUCAGCAGGGAAGAAAAUGACGGUACCUGACUAAGAAGCCCCGGCUAACUACGUGCCAGCAGCCGCGGUAAUACGUAGGGGGCAAGCGUUAUCCGGAUUUACUGGGUGUAAAGGGAGCGUAGACGGUAGAGCAAGUCUGAAGUGAAAGCCCGCGGCUCAACUGCGGGACUGCUUUGGAAACUGUUCAACUGGAGUGCUGGAGAGGUAAGCGGAAUUCCUAGUGUAGCGGUGAAAUGCGUAGAUAUUAGGAGGAACACCGGUGGCGAAGGCGGCCUGCUGGACUGUAACUGACGUUGAGGCUCGAAAGUGUGGGGAGUAAACAGGAUUAGAUACCCCGGUACC
rnacentral:rRNA from 1 species